UGGGGAAUUUUGGACAAUGGGGGAAACCCUGAUCCAGCCAUCCCGCGUGUGCGAUGAAGGCCUUCGGGUUGUAAAGCACUUUUGGCAGGAAAGAAACGUCGCGGGUUAAUACCCCCGCNAAACUGACGGUACCUGCAGAAUAAGCACCGGCUAACUACGUGCCAGCAGCCGCGGUAAUACGUAGGGUGCAAGCGUUAAUCGGAAUUACUGGGCGUAAAGCGUGCGCAGGCGGUUCGGAAAGAAAGAUGUGAAAAUCCCCAGAGCUUAAACUUUUGGAACUGCAUUUUUAAACUACCGGGCUAGAGUGUGUCAGAGGGAGGUGGAAUUCCCGCGUGUAGCAGUGAAAUGCGUAGAUAUGCGGAGGAACACCGAUGGCGAAGGCAGCCUCCUGGGAUAACACUGACGCUCAUGCACGAAAGCGUGGGGAGCAAACAGGAUUAGAUACCCUGGUAGUCCACGCCCUAAACGAUGUCAACUAGCUGUUGGGGCCUUCGGGCCUUGGUAGCGCAGCUAACGCGUGAAGUUGACCGCCUGGGGAGUNCGGUCGCAAGAUUAAAACUUAAAUGAAUUG
rnacentral:rRNA from 1 species